CUUCAGCGAACCGAGCCACAGCGGCCGGUCCUCGGAACGCUCCUCGCCGUACGUGGCCAGCAGCGCCUGUGCCUC
rfam:Streptomyces agglomeratus strain 6-3-2 1, whole genome shotgun sequence.